AUUGAACGCUGGCGGCAGGCCUAACACAUGCAAGUCGAGCGGAUGAAGGGAGCUUGCUCCUGGAUUCAGCGGUGGACGGGUGUGUAAUGCCUAGGAAUAUGCUUGGUAGUGGGGGAUAACGUCCGGAAACGGGCGCUACUACUGCAUACGUCCUGAGGGAGAAAGAGGGGGAUCUUUGGACCUCUCGCUAUCAGAUGAGCCUAGGUCGGAUUAGCUAGUUGGUGGGGUAAAGGCCUACCAAGGCGACGAUCCGUAACUGGUCUGAGAGGAGGAUCAGUCACACUGGAACUGAGACACGGUCCAGACUCCUACGGGAGGCAGCAGUGGGGAAUAUUGGACAAUGGGCGAAAGCCUGAUCCAGCCAUGCCGCGUGUGUGAAGAAGGUCUUCGGAUUGUAAAGCACUUUAAGUUGGGAGGAAGGGCAGUAAGUUAAUACCUUGCUGUUUUGACGUUACCAACAGAAUAAGCACCGGCUAACUUCGUG
rnacentral:rRNA from 1 species